rnacentral:sRNA from 1 species
CCGAGAUUGGAGCCUCCGCCGUGACGGAAU